rnacentral:tRNA from 1 species
GGGGAUGGUGUAGUGGUCUAGGGCACUACACUGGAAACCAAUAGGUCGUAGGUUCGAAUCCUGCCAUCCCCA